GCGCCCCCUGCCGUCCCAUCGCGGCGGCGCAAUCCGGCCUCAGUUGCCGGCUGCCCGGAGGGGCCGCGUCCGGGGAUUCAGCGGGUCACCGGGGUCAGCUCCCUGCCCGGACCGACCCGGUUCUUAGGCCUCUGCUUGGCAUGAAAGCGGUUGGGGCGGCAGGACGUGUCUGGACUGGAGGGUGCGCUUGGGUCUCGCUAGGCCUUUGCCAGCGACUUGCCGCAUGACCUUGCUCGGAUCCCCUCCCCCCACUUCCUGGGCCUCAGUUUUCUCAUCUCCCUCACAGGACGGCCAGGAGGACCAAACCCGGGAAUGGCGGGAAGCAAAUAAGAACAAGUCUUGACCCAGAAGAAUUGCUCAAAAAGACAUCUACAGACUACAGGAAUCAGUGAUGGAACUGCCUCCCAGCCAGAAAACCUGCAGGGUCAGAAUCAUUACUCCAUUUUACGGAUGCCGGAUGUCUUCUCAGCUAAUCCUCCCAUCCAAUCCUCUGGGAAGCCUUUCAGGAUGCCCCACCCCGACUUAUCGCUGCCUUCUCUGAACUGCCAGCAAUGGACCUCAGUGGGGCGGAGGAUCAGCUUUCAUCUCCUUGCAGACACCUGGGGUGCUCCCAUGAGUUCCCAGCCUUUUUUCCACCCCCACCUUGCACAGAGGCCUCCCCCACAGGAGAGAGUGAGGACACCAGGAGCACUCUGUGGACUCAAUCCUCCCCAGGCCCAAGAGAGCUGAGGCACGUUCUUCUCUGGCCCCCCAUGGCAGCUACAGCUUGAAGGGACUCAAGAUAAUCUGCAACCAACUUCCUCACUAGGGGUCUCUUUUGUUCACUGAACACCCCUUUCUCAAGCAAGGCUGGGUCCCUCAGCAAGCUCUGGUCACGAGCACCAGGAGAGACCAAGAAGUUGCAAACUUACAAUAAUGCCUACACAUCAAGCCUGUUGGAGACACCUUCACGGAAGAAAGUGCUUCCUACAGUCUAGGCUCAAUUCCCCACUCCUCUCCUGCUCCACCACGGCCCAGGGCUUCCCCCCAGCCUGGCACUUCAUGCCUAGGCCACUCUGAACUCCUAUAGUGCUAAGUGAACAAAAUCCUGCUUGCCCUUACCUUGAGGCCUUUGCAAAUGCUCUUCCAUCUUCCUAGUGCUGUCCCUCAACUCAGCCUGAAGUGGCUCUUCCUUAUAAGGCCAGCCCCAAUGGCCCCUCCUCCUAAAUACCUUCCUGCGACAUUAACACAGGUAGGAAAGACUCGGAGCUUCCAUCCACGUGGUCACUGGCUCUGUCCAUCUGCCCCCAGGGGUGUCAUGUUUGGUAGGGCCAGUGAACGGCUGCUGAAUGAAUGAAUGAUGAGUCCUGAUCUCCCUCCUCUGUUCCCUCUCCCUGGAUGACUUCACUCACUCACCUAUGGGAGAGUCAGAGGCUGACAGUGCCUCUGCCUCCAAUUCCCCCUCUUGUCCUCUGAGACCCUCCCUUUCACACGUACAGCCCACUCUCAUAAAACCAAGAGACUCACAGCCCUUCUGCAUUGGUAGGAAGUUCUUCCUGCUGUCUGUCCUCACUCCCUUAUUUGACCAUGCCUGCUUCUUUAUCAUUAUUUUUGGAGAGGAGUCAGGGCCUGCACCCAUCUCAGAUUUUUGUUAAUAAAGGCUGCGCAUUUCUCCCACUCUCUGCCUAGAUGUGUUCUUGCCACUCCUGGAUCAUUGUGCCCCAGCCUGGCCCUACUUCAGGGGACAGUGACACAGGACGGAGAAAGGACAUAAGGCCAGGCUGGGUAGCCUGGAGUUGCUGGGCCCUGCGGAGAAGACCCAGGACAGAUAUAACCACCACAAGGGAAG
rnacentral:lncRNA from 1 species